rnacentral:sRNA from 1 species
UCUCUUCCAGACAACCAUUAGAUGGGCA